ACUUUGGGUAUGACAUUUCAAGGUCAAAGGUCAAGGCACCAAAUGAAAGCCCAUAUGUGACUUUCUAUCUAUUGCCAAAAGUAAUUAUAUUAAUAUCUUCAACUGCUUUGAAGUUACAGCACUUUGAAAUUUUUCCUUUCUAAACCAAUGGG